rnacentral:tRNA from 1 species
GUGGCCGUAGCUCAGUAGGUAGAGCAUCGGAUUGUGGCUCCGAAGGGCGCGGGUUCGAGUCCCGUCGGUCACC